rnacentral:lncRNA from 1 species
AGUCAGGCCAAACGCCCCCAAUCCACGCCAGGGGAGACUGUGCCCAGGGCUGCGGCACACACGGCCUGAAGCCGGCUGCAGGGAGUGGGCUUGGCCAGCCGCUGGCUACAGCGGGAACUGUCCAGCCUGUGGCCAGGGAGCAGCUGAGGGAGGCAGGAUGGCAGGAAGUGGCCGGGCAGCUCAGGCCACCUGCCACAGGUGGUCGUGGAAAGAGAGUCCCUCAAACUGAGCUUGCAAACUGAAGUCGUAAACUAACCUGAGAAAGGCAAGUACAAAUAACAGGAAUCUCAAAAUAAACAAGCUGGAGAUCUUAAAAGAGAUGAAAGAAGUCCUGACUGUCACACAGUCCCUGGUCUGACUGAGCGGCCAGGCAGGAGGAACACCCGUGCUGAGAGGCCACCCCACAGGAUCUGGGCUUGUGUUACCCACAAGUUCAAGGAGCAGAGGAUGACUGUCCGCUCGGCAAAUGCUCACUGGCACUGCUGUGUCUGCAGCAGGCUGGGCAUGGCUGGGGCUCUGGGACUCUGGGACUGCAAGGUCCAGUGUGAUGGGUUCUGAAGCCGGCACCGCAGAGCCACCCGACACCAGCCUCCUGGGUGUUGGGACUGGCGCUAGACCUGGGAAUCACUCAGCACCGGCCCGGCACACAGCAGAUGCUCCGUGAACUCAGCCUCGCUCCCAGGGACACGCCCCCCACACCCACCGUGCUUGCCUGAGCCAGGAGCCCCACGCCCAGGCCCCGCCCGCGCCUCCUACCAGCUCUCGGCUCCACCGUCUUGUUGGCACCCUCCUCCAUGAACAUGAACCGCCCUCCGCCGAAGUCCUCCAGAGUCUCCAGCCUCAUGCAUUGUUGCCCAGGAUUUCCUGUAAGCUCAGAUGUUGGAGCAGCCGUGUUCCAGCAAAGGCUACGGGCAGCAGGCCAGCCAGCAGGGUGUGCAUGCUGGGAUGGUCCCCCGGUGCCAGCCUCGCUGCCCACACGUGGGAACCAGAGGCAGCGGUGGACGCGCUUUUCUCCUUUCUUCAGAAGUGGAGCAAUCCCAAGCUUUUUAAAACUUGUAAUAAAAUGCAGAACCUAAGAUUUUCCAGC